rfam:Ictidomys tridecemlineatus contig014322, whole genome shotgun sequence.
GGGGCUGUAGCUCAGCGGUAGAGCACUAGCCUAGCAUGCUUGAGUCACUGGGUUCAAUCCUCAGCACCA